rnacentral:rRNA from 1 species
AUUGAACGCUGGCGGCAGGCCUAACACAUGCAAGUCGAGCGGAUGAAGGGAGCUUGCUCCUGGAUUCAGCGGCGGACGGGUGAGUAAUGCCUAGGAAUCUGCCUGGUAUUGGGGGAUAACGUCCGUAAACGGGCGCUAAUACCGCAUACGUCCUGAUGGAGAAAGUGGGGGAUCUUCGGACCUCACGCUAUCAGAUGAGCCUAGGUCGGAUUAGCUAGUUGGUGGGGUAAAGGCCUACCAAGGCGACGAUCCGUAACUGGUCUGAGAGGAUGAUCAGUCACACUGGAACUGAGACACGGUCCAGACUCCUACGGGAGGCAGCAGUGGGGAAUAUUGGACAAUGGGCGAAAGCCUGAUCCAGCCAUGCCGCGUGUGUGAAGAAGGUCUUCGGAUUGUAAAGCACUUUAAGUUGGGAGGAAGGGCAGUAAGUUAAUACCUUGCCGUUUUGACGUUACCAACAGAAUAAGCACCGGCUAACUUCGUG